rnacentral:rRNA from 1 species
GUUGCCAUCAGGUAAUGCUGGGGACUCUAAAGGAACUGCCUACGCAAGUAGUGAGGAAGCGGGGAUGACGUCAAAUCAGCACGGCCCUUACGUCCAGGGCUACACACGUGCUACAAUGGCCGAUACAGAGGGCAGCUACCUGGUGACAGGAUGCAAAUCUCCAAAGUCGGUCUCAGUUCGGAUCGGAGUCUGCAACCCGACUCCGUGAAGUUGGAUUCGCUAGUAAUCGCGCAUCAGCCAUGGCGCGGUGAAUACGUUCCCGGGCCUU